UGAGGAACAUGACCUUCGGCGGGGGAUAGCCGGCCCAACGGCCGGGUAAUACCGCGUACGACCUUUUGGGGACAUCCCCGAUUGGUGAAAGCAGCAAUGCGCCGAAAGAGUGCCUCGCGGCCUAUCAGCUAGUUGGUGGGGUAAUGGCUCACCAAGGCGACGACGGGUAGCUGGUCUGAGAGGAUGGCCAGCCACAUUGGGACUGAGACACGGCCCAGACUCCUA
rnacentral:rRNA from 1 species